rnacentral:rRNA from 1 species
AUGAACGCUAGCUACAGGCUUAACACAUGCAAGUCGAGGGGCAGCGGGAUUGAAGCUUGCUUCAAUUGCCGGCGACCGGCGCACGGGUGAGUAACGCGUAUCCAACCUUCCGCUUACUCGGGGAUAGCCUUUCGAAAGAAAGAUUAAUACCCGAUGGUAUCUUAAGCACGCAUGAGAUUAAGAUUAAAGAUUUAUCGGUAAGCGAUGGGGAUGCGUUCCAUUAGGCAGUUGGCGGGGUAACGGCCCACCAAACCUACGAUGGAUAGGGGUUCUGAGAGGAAGGUCCCCCACAUUGGAACUGAGACACGGUCCAAACUCCUACGGGAGGCAGCAGUGAGGAAUAUUGGUCAAUGGGCGAGAGCCUGAACCAGCCAAGUAGCGUGAAGGAUGACGGCCCUACGGGUUGUAAACUUCUUUUGUGCGGGAAUAAAGGAACCUACGUGUAGGUUUUUGCAUGUACCGUAACGAAUAAGCAUCGGCUAACUCCGUGCCAGCAGCCGCGGUAAUACGGAGGAUGCGAGCGUUAUCCGGAUUUAUUGGGUUUAAAGGGAGCGUAGACGGGUUUUUAAGUCAGCUGUGAAAGUUUGGGGCUCAACCUUAAAAUUGCAGUUGAAACUGGAGACCUUGAGUACGGUUGAGGCAGGCGGAAUUCGUGGUGUAGCGGUGAAAUGCGUCGAUAUCACGAUGAACCCCGAUUGCGAAGGCAGCCUGCUAAGCCGCCACUGACGUUGAGGCUCGAAAGUGCGGGUAUCAAACAGGAUUAGAAACCCUGGUAGUCCGCACGGUAAACGAUGGCUACUCGCUGUUGGCGAUAUACAGUCAGCGGCCAAGCGAAAGCGUUAAGUAUCCCACCUGGGGAGUACGCCGGCAACGGUGAAACUCAAAGGAAUUGACGGGGGCCCGCACAAGCAGGAACAUGUGGUUUAAUUCGAUGAUACGCGAGGAACCUUACCCGGGCUUGAACUGCAGUGGAAUUAUCCGGAAACGGAUAAGCGAGCAAUCGCCGCUGUGGAGGUGCUGCAUGGUUGUCGUCAGCUCGUGUCGUGAGAUGUUGGGUUAAGUCCCGCAACGAGCGCAACCCCUAUCCCCAGUAGCCAGCAGUCCGGCUGGGCACUCUGAGGAGACUGCCAGGGAUAACCUGGAGGAAGGCGGGGAUGACGUCAAAUCAUCAUGCCCCUUAUGACCUGGGCUACACACGUGCUACAAUGGCGUAACAAAGGGAAGCGAGCCUGCGAGGGUGAGCAAAUCCCAAAAAUAACGUCCCAGUUCGGACUGUAGUCUGCAACCCGACUACACGAAGCUGGAAUCGCUAGUAAUCGCGAAUCAGAAUGUCGCGGUGAAUACGUUCCCGGGCCUUGUACACACCGCCCGUCAAGCCAUGAAAGCCGGGGGUACCUGAAGUACGUAACCGCGAGGAUCGUCCUAGGGUAAAACCGGUAAUUGGGGCU